CCUACGGGCGGCAGCAGUAGGGAAUCUUCCACAAUGGGCGAAAGCCUGAUGGAGCAACGCCGCGUGGGUGAAGAAGGUCUUCGGAUCGUAAAACCCUGUUGUUAGAGAAGAAAGUGCGUGAGAGUAACUGUUCACGUUUCGACGGUAUCUAACCAGAAAGCCACGGCUAACUACGUGCCAGCAGCCGCGGUAAUACGUAGGUGGCAAGCGUUAUCCGGAUUUAUUGGGCGUAAAGGGAACGCAGGCGGUCUUUUAAGUCUGAUGUGAAAGCCUUCGGCUUAACCGGAGUAGUGCAUUGGAAACUGGGAGACUUGAGUGCAGAAGAGGAGAGUGGAACUCCAUGUGUAGCGGUGAAAUGCGUAGAUAUAUGGAAGAACACCAGUGGCGAAAGCGGCUUUCUGGUCUGUAACUGACGCUGAGGUUCGAAAGCGUGGGUAGCAAACAGGAUUAGAUACCCCUGUAGUC
rnacentral:rRNA from 1 species